CAUUGCUUUCCCCUCUCCUACUGUGAAAGACAUUUGCAGUUGAUAUAUUAUCGAUUAUAUAUUUUAAAAGCAACCUGAGGAUUGAUUAUAAAAAACGUUUGACGUUUUGUGGACAUUAAUGGAAACUAUUUGGAAUUUUCGUCUGCGUUGUCGUGACCGCUCUUUCCUGUUGAUUUCUGAACAUAACGCGACAAACAAACGGAGGUAUUUUGGAUCUAAAAAUUAUCUUUAUGGAGCAAAAGGAACAUUUGUUGUGUAACUGGGAGUCUCGUGAGUGAAAACAUCCGAAGAUCAUUAAAGAUGUUUUUUCAACCACUGGAGUUCAACGUGAGCCUGUUUUCAGAUGUCCUGUUAGAUGGACGGGAACUGGGUCUCAAGGAGAUCUACACAGAGCUGGCCAUCUUUCUUCUGUUGGUAUACAUCAUGUUCGUCAUCGGCAACAACAUGAUCGUCACUCUGGUGAUCAUCACUCCAAACUUCAGUCGCUUCUUGCAGAUGCAUACCUAUUUGACAUUCCAAACUACAGAGGGAUUUAUCCUAUGUGCUGUGACCUACGACUGCUAUGUUGCUAUCUGCAAUCGUUUACGCCACAACAGCAUCAUGACAAUCAAGGUGCAUGUUCCUGGCCUCAACAACAUGGGCUUCCAGCAUUGACUGUCAUUCUUGCAUCAAAACUACCUUUCAGUAGUCAUCAGAUAAUGUAUUGGUUUUGUGAUUAUCCUCCGACUGUUACAUUGUCAAGUUGGAAACAAUAUUUUUGAUAGAUUAGGUCCUCGCAUGUGCUUUAUUUGUGAUGUAUGUUCCAUUCACUGUCAUAAUUUGGUCAUAUUGUAAAAUCAUCAAACAAUUUGCAAAAUUGCCACAUCUGAAGGGCAGGAAAAAAGAUUUCUCUACCUGCUCCUCUCAUCUCAUUGCUGUCAUUACCUUCUACAUUGAUUAUUCAUGUGUCUACAUCUGUGCUAAAUCAUAUCAUAUUCAUCUCAAUGUCAUCAUCUUGAUGUCUAUUGUCAACUAUGUUUUAACUCCUCUUGUGAAUCCACUUGUUUACAGUUUCAGGAACAAAGGUUUCUGUCCUGAAACUCCU
ensembl:lncRNA